rnacentral:lncRNA from 1 species
CUAGACCUAAUAACAGAAGCGACGCCCCCCUCUACUGUCCUUCUUUUUCGCUUGAAACUCGCCUCAACUCGCCUGAGUGUUGAAUGAGUUCACUCAUUGGUCCCCCCUCCAUGUCACCUUAUCCUCAACGGAUUUGUCAGAGGAGUACGAAUUUUCUCUCCAGAAUUGCACGAUUCUCGUACAGAAGGACAAUUGGUGGACGAAUGGGAGCCGUGGAUAGAUGUAAAUCGAUUCACGCCCUCCAUUUUUCCCAAAAUUGUUCAAAAAUUUGAAGAUUUUCGGAUAUUUUGAGCAGAAGAUUCGAGAAUUUUCGAGGGUUAUAUAUAGGAGGUAAGUUUUCUUUUUCAAGGUUUUGAGGAAAAUAGAGAGAAAAAUAUAAAGAGAAAAUCGGGAAAAAUCUUCAGAGCCUAGUCGAAAUUUCUAGGGUUUUAGCGACCGUUCUGCUUCAAGUUUUUUUUUUGAGUCUAUUUCUCUGUUUUCAAAAGAAGAUAAAAAAGAUGGCUUGAGUUUUUGGCCCGCAUUUGAGUUCAUAUUACCAAAAAAAAAAUCCAGAAGCAAAACUUUCUAGCCUUAUUUCGUUUUUCUUGAUUUCUUGGUUCUAAAAGAAGGUUUUGGAUCGAAUUUCGAGUUUAAGUUUGUGGUUGGGUUCCGAAAUUUUGUUAUUUUGGAUUUUCUGUCCAAUUUUUGGUCGAGAUUCGGAUUUGCUCGGUUGGUCUGUGGAGUUGCUGUUUUUGUUGCUGAAUCUCUCCUCCCAUUUCAGAGCUUUCUUUUGAUAUUUUUCAGUUAUUUUGCCAAUAGGUAUGUUCUCCUUAAAAUACCUUCAGAACUUUUUUUUGGAUGUGUAAUUAUGGAUUUUGUUUUAGCCUAUUCACUUGUAAUUACUUGAAUAUGGGAUUGUCUUUUAGUUCGUUUCUGUUGUUGCUAUCAAAACUUAUUGGGUUUGAUUUAUUUUCAGCAUUGAACAGAGUGUUUGUAGCUUGAUAAAAAUGAGAUUUUUGUUGGAACUUAGAUAUCUUUGUUUUGCUGGUGUUAAUCUUUUGGUCUUGUUCUAGAUAGCGUGAAAAUGUUUGAUUUGUUUCCCUUACUCUGUUGAAUUUGGGUCAUACGUGGUAAGUUUCAAACUAAGGUCAACUAUUCUAUUUUGAUUCUUGUUCAAAGCUGUACGCCAUUUAAAGCUUACUAAGAAAUAUUUAUAUAGUUGAAAUCAUGGUCAAAACAUCAGUCUCUCUUUUUGGAUCCACAAGUUCAAGCAAAUGACCAUGGGAGCAGUAAAAGAGUUAAUUUGUUGAAAAAAGGUGAAUUAAUAAGGUUUGGUUAAAUGGGUUAAAAUUCCAUGCUUUGAACAUUACUAGGCUUGAUUUUCUUUCUUAGCUUUUGUUUACCUUUUAUUAUACUCUGUUCUUUUUGUUUCUCUUAAAAUAUUCGUUCUUGUCGUAUUCUUGUGUUAAGCUAAGUGUUAAGGACAGAAAUAAAAGAAUUGGGUUUUAACUUUAAAAGGAAAAAACGUUGGACAGGGAAUGUCGUUUUCUUAUGAAUGGAUGAGAUGCUUGAGGAUUACUCUGUUUUCUGGAAGCCUUCAAAUGGAGUGAAUGUAGGCCAAUUGAAUGGCACUUGCUGAAACUCCAAGUUUGAAAAGAUAGAAUUUAUUUGUACAAUUUUACUUUUAAAGUUGGGGUCUAUGCAAUUCAUUAUGGUAUUCCGAAAGAUUUGUACAUAAUGUUAUGUUAACAUAAUUCAUGAUAUUACUGAUUAAGAGACAAUUUUAUAGACAUUUGGUUGAACCUUUACUUGUUUGAAUAUUGGUCAAGCCAUGGACAAUAAUUUACCUUUUGUCUCUUCCGUAUGAAUUCAUGGACUCUUGCUUUAG